GACAGAGGAGCCAAGCGUUGUCCGGAUUGACUGGGCGUAAAGCGCACGUAGGCGGUCUGUUAUGUCGGAUGUGAAAGCCCUUGGCUCAACUGAGGAAGUGCAUCCGAAACUGGCAGGCUGGAGUACGUAAGAGGGUCGCGGAAUUCCCGGUGUAGAGGUGAAAUUCGUAGAUAUCGGGAGGAACACCGGUGGCGAAGGCGGCGACCUGGGACGAUACUGACGCUGAGGUGCGAAAGCGUGGGGAGCAAACAGG
rnacentral:rRNA from 1 species